CACGCAGGCGGUCUGUCAAGUCGGAUGUGAAAUCCCCGGGCUCAACCUGGGAACUGCAUUCGAAACUGGCAGGCUUGAGUCUUGUAGAGGGGGGUAGAAUUCCAGGUGUAGCGGUGAAAUGCGUAGAGAUCUGGAGGAAUACCGGUGGCGAAGGCGGCCCCCUGGACAAAGACUGACGCUCAGGUGCGAAAGCGUGGGGAGCAAACAGGAUUAGAUACCCUGGUAGUCCACGCCGUAAACGAUGUCUACUUGGAGGUUGUGCCCUUGAGGCGUGGCUUCCGGAGCUAACGCGUUAAGUAGACCGCCUGGGGAGUACGGCCGCAAGGUUAAAACUCAAAUGAAUUGACGGGGGCCCGCACAAGCGGUGGAGCAUGUGGUUUAAUUCGAUGCAACGCGAAGAACCUUACCUGGUCUUGACAUCCACGGAAGAAUUCAGAGAUGGAUUUGUGCCUUCGGGAACCGUGAGACAGGUGCUGCAUGGCUGUCGUCAGCUCGUGUUGUGAAAUGUUGGGUUAAGUCCCGCAACGAGCGCAACCCUUAUCCUUUGUUGCCAGCGGUCCGGCCGGGAACUCAAAGGAGACUGCCAGUGAUAAACUGGAGGAAGGUGGGGAUGACGUCAAGUCAUCAUGGCCCUUACGACCAGGGCUACACACGUGCUACAAUGGCGCAUACAAAGAGAAGCGACCUCGCGAGAGCAAGCGGACCUCAUAAAGUGCGUCGUAGUCCGGAUUGGAGUCUGCAACUCGACUCCAUGAAGUCGGAAUCGCUAGUAAUCGUGGAUCAGAAUGCCACGGUGAAUACGUUCCCGGGCCUUGUACACACCGCCCGUCACACCAUGGGAGUGGGUUGCAAAAGAAGUAGGUAGCUUAACCUUCGGGAGGGCGCUUACCACUUUGUGAUUCAUGACUGGGGUGAAGUCGUAACAAGGUAACCGUAGGGGAACCUGCGGUUGGAUCACCUCCUUACCUUAAAGAAGC
rnacentral:rRNA from 1 species